ACAAGCGGUGGAUGAUGUGGUUUAAUUCGAUGCAACGCGAAAAACCUUACCCACCUUUGACAUGUACGGAAUCCUUUAGAGAUAGAGGAGUGCUCGAAAGAGAGCCGUAACACAGGUGCUGCAUGGCUGUCGUCAGCUCGUGCCGUGAGAUGUUGGGUUAAGUCCCGCAACGAGCGCAACCCUUGUCAUUAGUUGCUACAUUCAGUUGGGCACUCUAAUGAGACUGCCGGUGACAAACCGGAGGAAGGUGGGGAUGACGUCAAGUCCUCAUGGCCCUUAUAGGUGGGGCUACACACGUCAUACAAUGGAUGGUACAAAGGGUCGCCAACCCGCGAGGGGGAGCCAAUCCCAUAAAGCCGGUCGUAGUCCGGAUCGCAGUCUGCAACUCGACUGCGUGAAGUCGGAAUCGCUAGUAAUCGUGAAUCAGAAUGUCACGGUGAAUACGUUCCCGGGUCUU
rnacentral:rRNA from 1 species